UACCUUGAAUGUGUGCGGGACUCUGGU
rnacentral:piRNA from 1 species